rnacentral:tRNA from 1 species
GGGGUCGUGGCUCAGCGGUAGAGCACUCACCUAGCAAGUGCGAGGCCCUGGGUUCGAUCCUCAGGGAUCUAA